UUCAAAGCAAGGCAGAUCCAAUUUUCUGCCACCGAAUACAUUAGCAUGGGAUAAUGGAAUAGGACCCUGUCCUCCUAUUUUCAGUUGGUUUGCCGCGAGGACCAGGGUAAUGAUUAAUAGGGAUAGUUGGGGGCAUUAAUAUUUAAUUGUCAGAGGUGAAAUUCUUGGAUUUAUGAAAGAUUAACUUCUGCGAAAGCAUCUGCCAAGGAUGUUUUCAUUAAUCAAGAACGAAAGUUAGGGGAUCGAAGACGAUCAGAUACCGUCGUAGUCUUAACCAUAAACGAUGCCGACCAGCGAUUAGGAGACGUUGAAUACAAAACACCACCAUGUGAUUGCGGUCGUCUUUGGUGCCAUCCACAGCAAUGUGUGGUGGCAUCGGGAUGGCUUAGCUCGCAUGGCACCGGUGAAUGACUCCCCUAGCAGCUUGUGAGAA
rnacentral:rRNA from 1 species